rnacentral:rRNA from 1 species
GACGAACCGUGCAAACGUUAUUCGGAAUCACUGGGCAUAAAGGGCGCGUAGGCGGCUCCAAAAGUCAGGGGUGAAAUCCGGCGCUUAACUGUCGACAGUGCCUUUGAUACUGUGGAGCUAGAGGGAGGUAGGGGUCUGUGGAACUUCCGGUGGAGCGGUGAAAUGCGUUGAUAUCGGAAGGAAACGCCGGUGGCGAAAGCGACGGACUGGAUCUCUUCGACGCUGAGGCGCGAAAGCCAGGGGAGCAAAGCGGG